UCAACUUUUGAUGAUGAUAGAAACAAAUACAUAGAAACGUCUCUGUGACAGAUCUGCUAACUUAGAGGAAUAAAGUCCUGGGGUCCGUUUCACGAAGCAGGUUUAGUGAAAACUCUGAGUUUGUUAACCCUGAAAUGAGGGAAACUCUGAGAUUUCCGUUUCACAAAGGGAGGUAACUCAAACCAGAGACAGAGGAGUAACUCUAGCCUGUUUCACAAAGAGGGGUAACUUAAACUCUCGGUCAGUUACCAUAGUAACAGACUCUAUGACUCUAACCUGGUCGGGACCAGGUUUUUCUCAGUAAACCUCGAGUUUCUCUCUGUCUCCGCCCUCUUUCAGUCACAUGCUAUUUCAUUUCCUCAUUCAUUCAGUCAGCUGGUGAGUUUUGGCGAAGUCUAAUUCUGCCGUGUGUCAAAAUGUCAUGUCUUUUUAUGAACGAUCCAGUGGAUGAAGGAGCAGAAUUACUGCACAGAGAAUUAAAUAUUCUUCGGGAGAUUGUUUUCAGACCGUGCAUAGAUGUUCUCGCAUUUCUCGACAGUUAUCUUUUAGAGCGAUACCGUUUCACGUCACAAUCCAUAAUCUACAUACGACCUCAUCCGUCCUUACAUCUGCAACUUUACCAACCACAGUCAUGCUCUCACAUCCCAGCAGAUAUUGUGUGUUGUGCUGCGGUUCUUUGCAAAUGAAAGUUUUUUAUACAACGUCGGAGAUGCAGAGCACUUCAGUAAGGCCACUGUAUGCAGGACGGUCAGAAAUGUGUGUCUGGAUCUGAAACGACUUUUACCGAUCUUUGUCGUUUUCCCUGGACAUAAACCUGUCAGAGCCAUCAAGGAGGAGUUCCACAGGAUUGCAGGAUUUCCCAGUGUGAUUGGCUGCAUUGAUGGCACACACAUCCCCAUCACAGCUCCCUCACAUAAUGAAGCUGAUUAUGUGAACAGGAAGUCCAUUCACAGUAUAAAUGUACAGAUCAUAUGUGAUGCUGCAUACAUCAUUUCUAAUGUGGAGGCCAAGUGGUCUGGAUCUGUUCAUGACUGGAGGGUUUAUCAUGAGUCUAACAUGAGCAACAGACUGCAACGUGGAGAGUUUGAUGGCCUUCUGCUGGGUGACAGGGGUUACCAUGCCAACCCAGGCUGAUGACCUCAUACCCUGACCCUGAACCAGGCCCCCAACAGAACUUCAACCAGGUUCACUGCAGGAUGAGAGCCUGGGUGGAGAUGACCAUAAACCUGCUGAAAGCCUGUUUCCAGUGUCUACAUCACCUCAGGGUGACUCCUGAGAGGCCUGUGAUAUUAUUGUGGCAUGUGUUGUUCUUCAUAAUAUUACCACUAUUAGAGGAGAGCAACACUCUGCCCUACAAACUGAAGACCCAGAUGAUGACCUCAUCCACCUGCCAGGUAUCCAGGACGGCAGAGCAGUCAGAGACACCAUAUGCAAUAAUCACUGCAGAGUUUAAGUCUCCAUCAUCACCACCACAGCAGUCAAAUAAACACAUGAUACACAUUUCA